GGAUGUCUCGUCUCCUCUUCUCUUUAACUAACAUAUAGGGGGGUGGAGCAAAAUACCGAAAAAUCGGUAUACCGCACUUACCGUACCGAAAAAAUACCAAAAAUACCGAAAUUUCGGUAUACCGAAAAUUUCGGUACGGUAUUGUGCCGUACCGAAAAUUUUCGGUACGACAACGGUAUCAAUUUUCCUCAUACCGCGGUAUACCGAUAUAUACCGAUACCGCGGUAUAUGCCGAAAAACCGGUAUAUACCGUAGUUUCGGUAUAUACCGUGCUACGGUAUAUACCGUUGUUCCGAUAUAUACCGAAAAAACUCGUAUACCGCCAGAAUAAAUUAUAUAUAUAUAUAUAUAUAUAUUUAUUUAUUUAUUAUUAUUUAAUUAGUGGUAAAUUAUUAAAAAAAUCAUAAUUACUAAAAAUUAAUGACAACUUAUAAAAUAUAUAUUUAUUAAUAAUUAAAAACAUGUAAAUAAAUUGAACAAAUAUAAAAUAAAUUGCAUCUAUGUUAUUUAACUAAAGGACUUUGAAAAGUAUACAAGUAUAUUACAUAAGUAUACAAUUAUGAGCUACAUAUAUAUCUAUAUUUAUAUGUCUACAUACUAUAAUUCUAAUUUUAGAAUAACUAUAUCUCUAGAAUAAGUUACAUUCAAGUUAUAUAUAAAAAUAACUAAUAGAUAAUAAAAAGUCAUAAGUAAAAUUUGAAAAGUAAAUAAAUUGAGUAAAUAUAAAACUCAAAUAAUAAUUACAAGAUUUACUAUAUUAUUGAUGAAACUAGAAUAUCAAUAUAUAGUCAAUUAUAAGUAUAUAAGUAUAUAAGUGUGAGCUAUAUAGUUAUAUUAUAUAUGUAGACUAUAAUUUUAGAAUAAGUUAAUUCUACGGAUGUAAAGUAAACAAAUCGAAUUGAAGCGAAUAUUAUUGGAUUCGAUUCACAUUCGUAAAAUAAUUGCAUAUUCCAAUGGUUACUCGAAUAUCUUUUAAAUUUUAUUUGCUAUUCAUAUUCGAUUCAUACACUGAUUCGCGAAUAUUCGAAUCGAAUCAAAUAUCCGUUUCAAUUUUUUACAAGUAUAUUUUAAACAAUAUAAAUCGAAAUACUUCCUACUAUUUCAUUUGACUUCUUACUAUUUAAUUCAAAAUAUGAAAUACUUUCGUAUGAAUUGAAUUUGAAAUCAAUGUUUUUAAUACUUUGAUUAAUACUAUUUUUAAUUUAAGUAAAUAUAAAUAUUUUGUUUAUUUUACUUUAUAUCUAUUUUAUUCUUUAUUUUUAAAUACUGAAUCGAGCAUUAUGAUUUUCGAAUCAUAUUUGAUAACUAAUCAAAUCAAACAAAAUAUUCAUAUUUGUAUUCGAGUUAAUCACAAAAUUUCGUAUUCGAAUAUCAAAAAUUUGAAUUUAAUACCAAACUAAACCAAAAAUAUUUGAUUCAUUUAAUUAAGGGAAAAAAUAUAAUUAUGUUAUUUUUCUAAUAUAAAUAAAAGCAAUUAAUAUCAAACAAUGAAAUACUUAAUAUAUUUUCAUUAAAUUAUUAUUCAAUACUCAUUAAAUCCUUGAAUAUAAAUAAAAAUAAUAUAAUGCAUUAGUUAACAAUAUAUCUCAUAAAAAGAUAAAUAAUAAUAUAACUAUUUAUUAAGUAUUAGAUACAUAAUAUAUAUAAUUUCAUUGUUAUCUAAGUUGAUAAUUUAACUUAAUUAUAGUGUACUAAAAUAAUUUAAAAGUUAUAGGGUUACGUAUAUAUUAUGUUAUAUAUAAUAAAAAAUUAUAUACGUAUUAUAUAUUAUAUAUAUUAAUAUUAAUAUACCAAUAAUUUCGAUAUACCGUAUGGUAUGGUAUACCGCAUUAUCGGUACGACAACGGUAUGAAAAUUGUCAUACCGAAAUUUUCGGUAUGCCGAUCUUCGGUAUACCGAAAAGUACGGUACGGCAACGGUAUGAAAAUUCUCAUACCGCAAUUUACGGUAUGGUAUACGGUAUGACGAAAAAUUUUCGGCAUACCGUACCGAUCCACCCCUACUAACAUAUUACGAAUAUCGAGCUUGAAUUUCAUCUCCAAACUUUUCGAAACAGCAAAUAGAGAAGUGUUUUGACAAAUCUUAAAUACUACAAGGCAUCUGUUAUUUACUAGAAUAUCAGAACUCGAAACACAUUCUCCUAGUUAGUUGUAAAGCAUAAUAUAACCCAAUUUUUGAUGCGUUAAGAUAAGCAAGUGUCAAAACUGCAACAACUAUGAAUGAAAUGACACAUCUAACCAAGACUUGUCGAUAUCUGUCUAGAGAUAGUGCUCUUGCCCACUGAUGCGAACAAAAAGACAGACUAAACCUCAUCGAGCCGACGCAAACCGUAAUAUACAGCUUUCCUUAGAAGGGGAUGAACAUCUUGUGUCAAAACCUCAGCAUCUAAUUUCUCAGCAAGUGGCCAAAUCUGG
rnacentral:lncRNA from 1 species